UUUCCGUAGGUGAACCUGCGGAAGGAUCAUUAUUGUAUAACCGAGGUGCGAGGGCUGUCGCUGACCCGAAAGGUCGUGCACGCCCGUGUGCCCUCACACACAUCCAUCUCACCCCUAUGUGCACCACCGCGUGGGUCCCCCUUUGGCUUGUUCGGAGGGGGGCUUACGUUUUCACACAAACUUUGUAUGCAGUGUAGAAUGUAUUUUUUGUUUUUGUGAUCACGCAAUCAAUACAACUUUCAACAACGGAUCUCUUGGCUCUC
rnacentral:misc_RNA from 1 species